rnacentral:rRNA from 1 species
AAUAGAUACCCCCGGUAGUCCUCGCUGUAAACGAUGCACACUUGAUGUGACCGGACUCAACCCUGGUCGUGUCGAAGCUAACGCGUUAAGUGUGCCGCCUGGGGAGUACGCUCGCAAGGGUGAAACUCAAGAGAAUUGACGGGGACCCGCACAAGCAGUGGAGCAUGUGGUUUAAUUCGAUGCAACGCGAAGAACCUUACCUAGGCUUGACAUGCAGAGGACAGUACCAGAGAUGGUACCUCCCUUCGGGGCCUUUGCACAGGUGCUGCAUGGCUGUCGUCAGCUCGUGCCGUGAGGUGUUGGGUUAAGUCCCGCAACGAGCGCAACCCUUAUCGUUAGUUGCCAACAGUUUUGGCUGGGGACUCUAACGAGACUGCCCGGGUUAACCGGGAGGAAGGUGAGGAUGACGUCAAGUCCGCAUGGCCCUUAUGUCUAGGGCUACACACGUGCUACAAUGGCCGGUACAACAGGCAGCGAGACCGCAAGGUGGAGCAAAUCCUCAAAAGCCAGUCCCAGUUCGGA